AUUGAACGCUGGCGGCAGGCCUAACACAUGCAAGUCGAACGAGUGGCGGACGGGUGAGUAAUGUCUGGGAAACUGCCUGAUGGAGGGGGAUAACUACUGGAAACGGUAGCUAAUACCGCAUACCAUCGGAUGUGCCCAGAUGGGAUUAGCUAGUAGGUGGGGUAAAGGCUCACCUAGGCGACGAUCCCUAGCUGGUCUGAGAGGAUGACCAGCCACACUGGAAGUGAGACACGGUCCAGACUCCUCGGGGAGGCAUCAUUGGGGAAUAUUGAACAAUGGGCGCAAGCCUGAUGCAGCCAUGCCGCGUGUGUGAAGAAGGCCUUCGGGUUGUAAAGCACUUUCAGCGGGGAGGCGUUACCCGCAGAAGAAGCACCGGCUAACUCCGUGCCAGCCGCCGCGGUAAUA
rnacentral:rRNA from 1 species